rnacentral:rRNA from 1 species
AUUGAACGCUGGUGGCAUGCUUAACACAUGCAAGUCGAACGGUAGCGGGGGCUUCGGCCUGCCGACGAGUGGCGGACGGGUGAGUAAUGUAUAGGAAUCUGCCCAGUAGUGGGGGACAACUUGGGGAAACUCAAGCUAAUACCGCAUACGCCCUACGGGGGAAAGCAGGGGAUCUUCGGACCUUGUGCUAUUGGAUGAGCCUAUAUCGGAUUAGCUAGUUGGUGGGGUAAAGGCCUACCAAGGCGACGAUCCGUAGCUGGUCUGAGAGGAGGAUCAGCCACACUGGGACUGAGACACGGCCCAGACUCCUACGGGAGGCAGCAGUGGGGAAUAUUGGACAAUGGGCGCAAGCCUGAUCCAGCAAUGCCAUGUGUGUGAAGAAGGCCUGCGGGUUGUAAAGCACUUUAGGUAGGGAGGAAAAGUGCAAGGAUAAUACCCUUGUACCGUGACGUUACCUACAGAAUAAGCACCGGCUAACUCCGUGCCAGCAGCCGCCGUAAAAC